rnacentral:tRNA from 1 species
GGCCCUAUCGUCUAGCCCGGUCUAGGACGCCAGGUUCUCAUCCUGGAAACUCGGGUUCAAAUCCCGAUAGGGUCACAA